GGGUGAUAUGGGUGCGACAUCUGUCACCCCACUGAUCGCCAGGGUUGAUUCGGCUGAUCUGGCUGGCUAGGCAGGUGUGCCCUUCCUCCCUCACUGCUCCAUGUGCUUCCCUCUCGAAGCUGGUCGAAGAGGAUGACCACCCCCAAUAGAGGAGGAUGUUUUCCUGGGUCAAGAGUAUAGGAGUAGCUAUGCUCCCUCCAAACAAGGGAUUUAGCUCAGUGGUUCC
rfam:Heterocephalus glaber contig181147, whole genome shotgun sequence.